rnacentral:rRNA from 1 species
UGAGGAAUAUUGGGCAAUGCCCGCAAGGGUGACCCAGCAACGCCGCGUGGAGGAUGAAGGUCGUAAGAUUGUAAACUCCUGUUAGAGGGGAAGAAUAACUAAGUUUGGAGCUUAGUAUGACUGUACCCUCAGAGAAAGCCCCGGCUAACUACGUGCCAGCAGCCGCGGUAAUACGUAGGGGGCAAGCGUUGUCCGGAUUUACUGGGUGUAAAGGGCGCGCAGGCGGAAUGGAAAGUCAGUGGUGAAAUCCUACAGCUUAACUGUAGAACUGCCUUUGAUACUUUCAUUCUUGAGUUCGGGAGAGAGAGACGGAAUUCCAGGUGUAGUGGUGAAAUACGUAGAUAUCUGGAAGAACACCAGUUGCGAAGGCGGUCUCUUGGUCCGAUACUGACGCUGAGGCGC